rnacentral:rRNA from 1 species
GACGAACGCUGGCGGCGUGCUUAACACAUGCAAGUCGUACGGAAAGGCCCUUGCUGGUUUACACGGGUGACGAACGGUGGAGUAACGCGGGAUUAACCUGCGCACAACUUUGUGAUAACGCGGGGAAACUGGUGCUAACACUUGAUAUUUGCGCCUGCGACAUAGGGGGGGUUGGAAAGCUGCGGCGGUGGUGAGUGGACUGUCGGCGUAUCAGCUUGUUGGGGUGGUAGUGGCCUACCAAAGCGGCGAGGGGUAGCCGGCCGGUGAGGGUGACCCGCCACACUGGGACUGAGAUAAGGCACCGACUCCUACGGGAGGGCGAAGUGGGGAAUAUUGAAGAAUGAGCGCAAGCUGGAUGCAGAAACGCUGCGUGCGGGAUGACGGUCUUGGGGUUGAAGACCGGCUUAAGCAGGGACGAAGAUUUUUGUGACGGUACCUGCAGAAGAAGCAACGGCUAACUACGUG